AGAGUUUGAUCCUGGCUCAGGAUGAAUGUUGGCGGCGUGCUUAACACAUGCAAGUCGAACGAACCUUCGGGUUAGUGGCGGACGGGUGAGUAACGCGUGAAAAUCUGCCCUCAGGAGGGGGAUAACAGUUGGAAACGACUGCUAAUACCCCAUAUGCCGAGAGGUAAAAUGAAUUUUGCCUGGGGAUGAGCUCGCGUCUGAUUAGCUUGUUGGUGGGGUAAAGGCCUACCAAGGCUUCGAUCAGUAGCUGGUCUGAGAGGACGAUCAGCCACACUGGGACUGAGACACGGCCCAGACUCCUACGGGAGGCAGCAGUGGGGAAUUUUCCGCAAUGGGCGCAAGCCUGACGGAGCAACGCCGCGUGAGGGAUGGAGGCCUUUGGGCUGUAAACCUCUUUUCUCAAGGAAAAAGAUCUGACGGUACUUGAGGAAUAAGCCACGGCUAAUUCCGUGCCAGCAGCCGCGGUAAUACGGGAGUGGCAAGCGUUAUCCGGAAUUAUUGCGCCUAAAGCGUCUGCAGGCGGCCGUUUAAGUCUGUUGUUAAAUCGUGGAGCUCAACUCCAUCACGGCAAUGGAAACUGUUC
rnacentral:rRNA from 1 species